UACGUAGGGGCAAGCGUUGUCCGGAUUUAUUGGGCGUAAAGAGCGUGUAGGCGGCCUGGAAGGUCAGCUGUGAAAACUCGAGGCUCAACCUCGAGACGUCGGUUGAAACCACUUGGCUAGAGUCCGGGAGAGGUGAGUGGAACUGCGAGUGUAGAGGUGAAAUUCGUAGAUAUUGGGAAGAACACCGGUGGCGAAGGCGGCUCUCUGGACCGAUACUGACGCUGAGGCGCGAAAGCGUGGGGAGCAAACAGGG
rnacentral:rRNA from 1 species